rnacentral:rRNA from 1 species
AAUAGAUACCCGGGUAGUCCACGCCCUAAACGAUGUCGACUAGGUGUUGGGGAAGGAGACUUCCUUAGUACCACAGCUAACGCGUGAAGUCGACCGCCUGGGGAGUACGGUCGCAAGAUUAAAACUCAAAGGAAUUGACGGGGACCCGCACAAGCGGUGGAUGAUGUGGAUUAAUUCGAUGCAACGCGAAAAACCUUACCUACCCUUGACAUGUACGGAAGUCCGCUGAGAGGUGGAUGUGCCCGAAAGGGAGCCGUAACACAGGUGCUGCAUGGCUGUCGUCAGCUCGUGUCGUGAGAUGUUGGGUUAAGUCCCGCAACAAGCGCAACCCUUGCCAUUAGUUGCCACAUUCAGUUGGGCACUCUAAUGGGACUGCCGGUGACAAACCGGAGGAAGGUGGGGAUGACGUCAAGUCCUCAUGGCCCUUAUGGGUAGGGCCUCACACGUCAUACAAUGGCGCGUACAGAGGGUUGCCAACCCGCGAGGGGGAGCCAAUCCCAGAAAGCGCGUCGUAGUCCGGAUUGGAGUCUGCAACUCGACUCC